AAAGCGUGCGCAGGCGGUUAUGUAAGACAGAUGUGAAAUCCCCGGGCUCAACCUGGGAACUGCAUUUGUGACUGCAUGGCUAGAGUACGGUAGAGGGGGAUGGAAUUCCGCGUGUAGCAGUGAAAUGCGCAGAUAUGCGGAGGAACACCGAUGGCGAAGGCAAUCCCCCGGACCUGUACUGACGCUCAUGCACGAAAGCGUGGGGAGCAAACAGGAUUAGAUACCCCGGU
rnacentral:rRNA from 1 species